rnacentral:misc_RNA from 1 species
CAUCAAGCUUGGCUUGUUAUUGGACCUCUAUGUCGGUGAAAUAGACGACAGGUUCGAAAAAUAAUGACGGUGUCAGUUGGACCCUCAAUGCAACGAGCUCUUUACACAGCACGCAUUGCAGGGCUUGGCUGGCCCGGUCGUCACCCAUCAUUUUCUCCACGGUUGACCUCGGAUCAGGUAGGAAUACCCGCUGAACUUAA